UGGUGGCGCACCAUCGAGAUCAACGAACUCAACUCUGGAAAAAGUAUACUGUUUGAAAGCAUGGAGGUCCAUGUUGUUGGUUAUGCUGUAAUAUCUGUGAAGAACGGUGGAAUGGCCGAUGUUGAAAGAUAUUUAAAGGCUCUUUGCAACUUGACUCAUUUGCAUACUUCACUAGACCAUGGUUUCAUCACAAUGAUGUUUUAUGAUAAUGAAUAUUCAUUGUCAGACACUUGAAACUACAAAAAUCAGGAAACUGCUGAAAUGACACCACAGCAAGAGCAACAUCUAGAUAGCAUGUGCAUGUGCGUUUCACCACAGCGAAUCAUGAAUGUUGUAACCUUCUACCGCUUGGCCAGGGAACAUUUAAGUACAAGCUAUUUGCUAGUUGACCAUUUGCAUAAUUCACCCAGACCAUGGUCUUAUCACAAUGAUGUAAUGUUAAUGAAUAUUCAUAGUCAGACACUUGAAACAACAAAAAUCUGGAAACUGCUGAAAUGACACCACAGCAAGAGCAACUUUUAGAUAGCAUAUACAUGUGCAUUUCACCACAGUGGAUCACACGCUCAUUGUAACCUUUUACCGCUUGGAUAGGCCAGGGAACAUUUUAAAGCUGUUUGCUAGUUGACUCAUUUGCGUAAUUCACCAGACCAUGGUCUCAUCACAAUGAUGUAAUGAUAAUGAAUAUUCAUAGUCAGACACUUGAAACUACAAAAAUCAGGAAACUGCUGAAAUGACACCACAGCAAGAGCAACAUCUAGAUAGCAUGUGCAUGUGCGUUUCACCACAGCAAAUCACGAAAGUUGUAAUCUUCUACUGCUUGGCCAGGGAACUUUUAAGUACAAGCUGUUUGCUACAUGACUCAUUUGCAUAAUUCAACAGACCAUGGUCUCAUCACAAUGAUGUAUUAUGAUAAUGAAUAUUCAUUGUCAGACACUUGAAACUACAAAAAUCAGGAAACUGCUGAAAUGACACCACAGCAAGAGCAACAUCUAGAUAGCAUGUGCAUGUGCGUUUCACCACAGCGAAUCACAAAAGUUGUAACCUUCUACCGCUUGGCCAGGGAAAAUUUAAGCACAAGCUGUUUGCUACAUGACUCAUUUGCAUAAUUCAACAGACCAUGGUCUCAUCACAGUGAUGUAUUAUGAUAAUGAAUAUUCAUUGUCAGACACUUGAAACUACAAAAAUCAGGAAACUGCUGAAAUGACGCCACAGCAAGAGCAACAUCUAGAUAGCAUGUGCAUGUGCGUUUCACCACAGCGAAUCACAAAAGUUGUAACCUUCUACCGCUUGGCCAGGGAACAUUUAAGCACAAAAACUCUGAAGAAAAUUUAGACACUGCACCUCUGCAAUGAGUGGACCAGCCCUGCUUGGCUGAAUGGCGAAUUUUGCUUCCUCUACUGAAUGAAUGUGGCUACUGGUGAUUUGGCAAUUGAAGCUUUAUAUUUCAAAUAGUCUUUGUAAUUUAGUAAAUAAUUAUUGGAAAUAAUUUGAAUAAAUAAAUAUUCAUUGUAAUUUAG